GAUGAACGCUGGCGGCGUGCCUAAUACAUGCAAGUCGAGCGAACAGACGAGGAGCUUGCUCCUCUGACGUUAGCGGCGGACGGGUGAGUAACACGUGGAUAACCUACCUAUAAGACUGGGAUAACUUCGGGAAACCGGAGCUAAUACCGGAUAAUAUAUUGAACCGCAUGGUUCAAUAGUGAAAGACGGUUUUGCUGUCACUUAUAGAUGGAUCCGCGCCGUAUUAGCUAGUUGGUAAGGUAACGGCUUACCAAGGCGACGAUGCGUAGCCGACCUGGGAGGGUGAUCGGCCACACUGGAACUGAGACACGGUCCAGACUCCUACGGGAGGCAGCAGUAGGGAAUCUUCCGCAAUGGGCGAAAGCCUGACGGAGCAACGCCGCGUGAGUGAUGAAGGUCUUCGGAUCGUAAAACUCUGUUAUUAGGGAAGAACAAAUGUGUAAGUAACUAUGCACGUCUUGACGGUACCUAAUCAGAAAGCCACGGCUAACUACGUG
rnacentral:rRNA from 1 species